UGGCUCAGUGGUAGAGUGCUUGCCUUGCAUGCAUGAGGCUCUGGGUUCGAUUCCUCAG
rfam:Dipodomys ordii contig_48182, whole genome shotgun sequence.